rnacentral:rRNA from 1 species
CACGUAGGAGGCAAACGUUAUCCGGAUUUACUGGGGCGUAAAGCGCGUGCAGGCGGCUCAUUACGCAUGGCGUGAAAGCCCCCGGCUCAACCGGGGAGGGUCGUCGUGAACGGGUGAGCUUGAGGGUAUCAGGGGCUGGUGGAAUUCCCGGUGUAGUGGUGAAAUGCGUAGAGAUCGGGAGGAACAUCUGUGGCGAAGGCGGCCAUCUGGACCAGCACUGACACUGAGGCACGAAAGCGUGGGGAGCAAACAGGAUUAGAUACCCCCCGUAGUCCCU